rnacentral:rRNA from 1 species
CGGACUGCAGGCUGCAACCCGCCUGCACGAAGUUGGAAUUGCUAGUAAUCGUGGAUCAGCAUGCCACGGUGAAUACGUUCCCGGGUCUUGUACACACCGCCCGUCACACCAUGGGAGUCGGUAACACCCGAAGUCAGUAGUCUAACCGCAAGGAGGACGCUGCCGAAGGUGGGAUUGACGACUGGGGUGAAGUCGUAACAAGGUAGC